CUAAUGGCUUUUUUAAAAGCUACAAAUCACGUUCUUAAUCAUUCACG
rfam:Stegodyphus mimosarum contig77504, whole genome shotgun sequence.